AGGCCUGACCGUUUGUCCUUGAGCCGUAGAUGGUCAACAAUCCGCUAGCUGUCUUGCUCUGACUGGUGCACUGGACAUGAUUUCAAUAGUUAGCCAGACCAUGAUUGAGCUUAAGGAUUGUGCUGCGGAUGCAGCCUGUGCAGUUCCGGGAGAAAGUCACUGUCUUGGGCAAUGCGGUCUGGUAUCAGGUCUGGAUGAUCCUUGCCUGACUGCGGGUUUGUGUACACCUCAAUCCGACUCUGUGUCCUGAACAGAGGCCGCAGUGGUGCAGCGCUUGUGGACGAUCCAUCAACAUCCUGAAAGGUCAACACUACACCAAGCUGGAAAAUUGAUCCUGAUAGUCAUCCCCAGGCCUGACCGUUUGUCCUUGAGCCGUAGAUGGUCAACAAUCCGCUAGCUGUCUUGCUCUGACUGGUGCACUGGACAUGAUUUCAAUAGUUAGCCAGACCAUGAUUGAGCUUAAGGAUUGUGCUGCGGAUGCAGCCUGUGCAGUUCCGGGAGAAAGUCACUGUCUUGGGCAAUGCGGUCUGGUAUCAGGUCUGGAUGAUCCUUGCCUGACUGCGGGUUUGUGUACACCUCAAUCCGACUCUGUGUCCUGAACAGAGGCCGCAGUGGUGCAGCGCUUGUGGACGAUCCAUCAACAUCCUGAAAGGUCAACACUACACCAAGCUGGGAAAAUUGAUCCUGAUAGUCAUCCCCAGGCCUGACCGUUUGUCCUUGAGCCGUAGAUGGUCAACAAUCCGCUAGCUGUCUUGCUCUGACUGGUGCACUGGACAUGAUUUCAAUAGUUAGCCAGACCAUGAUUGAGCUUAAGGAUUGUGCUGCGGAUGCAGCCUGUGCAGUUCCGGGAGAAAGUCACUGUCUUGGGCAAUGCGGUCUGGUAUCAGGUCUGGAUGAUCCUUGCCUGACUGCGGGUUUGUGUACACCUCAAUCCGACUCUGUGUCCUGAACAGAGGCCGCAGUGGUGCAGCGCUUGUGGACGAUCCAUCAACAUCCUGAAAGGUCAACACUACACCAAGCUGGGAAAAUUGAUCCUGAUAGUCAUCCCCAGGCCUGACCGUUUGUCCUUGAGCCGUAGAUGGUCAACAAUCCGCUAGCUGUCUUGCUCUGACUGGUGCACUGGACAUGAUUUCAAUAGUUAGCCAGACCAUGAUUGAGCUUAAGGAUUGUGCUGCGGAUGCAGCCUGUGCAGUUCCGGGAGAAAGUCACUGUCUUGGGCAAUGCGGUCUGGUAUCAGGUCUGGAUGAUCCUUGCCUGACUGCGGGUUUGUGUACACCUCAAUCCGACUCUGUGUCCUGAACAGAGGCCGCAGUGGUGCAGCGCUUGUGGACGAUCCAUCAACAUCCUGAAAGGUCAACACUACACCAAGCUGGGAAAAUUGAUCCUGAUAGUCAUCCCCAGGCCUGACCGUUUGUCCUUGAUCCGUAGAUGGUCAACAAUCCGCUAGCUGUCUUGCUCUGACUGGUGCACUGGACAUGAUUUCAAUAGUUAGCCAGACCAUGAUUGAGCUUAAGGAUUGUGCUGCGGAUGCAGCCUGUGCAGUUCCGGGAGAAAGUCACUGUCUUGGGCAAUGCGGUCUGGUAUCAGGUCUGGAUGAUCCUUGCCUGACUGCGGGUUUGUGUACACCUCAAUCCGACUCUGUGUCCUGAACAGAGGCCGCAGUGGUGCAGCGCUUGUGGACGAUCCAUCAACAUCCUGAAAGGUCAACACUACACCAAGCUGGGAAAAUUGAUCCUGAUAGUCAUCCCCAGGCCUGACCGUUUGUCCUUGAUCCGUAGAUGGUCAACAAUCCGCUAGCUGUCUUGCUCUGACUGGUGCACUGGACAUGAUUUCAAUAGUUAGCCAGACCAUGAUUGAGCUUAAGGAUUGUGCUGCGGAUGCAGCCUGUGCAGUUCCGGGAGAAAGUCACUGUCUUGGGCAAUGCGGUCUGGUAUCAGGUCUGGAUGAUCCUUGCCUGACUGCGGGUUUGUGUACACCUCAAUCCGACUCUGUGUCCUGAACAGAGGCCGCAGUGGUGCAGCGCUUGUGGACGAUCCAUCAACAUCCUGAAAGGUCAACACUACACCAAGCUGGGAAAAUUGAUCCUGAUAGUCAUCCCCAGGUAGUGGAAUGAAUGUACACUGAACUACAGAGGAAUCACACCCAAAUGACUUUCCUGCCACGACAUUAGUGUGGCCACUCGCGUAGGAAUUCCUUAGCAAACGUGCUCUUUUGCAUGGUGACUGUGGGCAUUUUUGCAAAACUUACGCUUUCAACACUGGAUUUUAAAGAGAAUACUUAAUAAAAUGUCGCUAACAGGACUUAUUUAUAUGAGAGAGACUAUCUGGAUGCGCAUUAAGUGUCACUUUGUGUCGUAAGCUGUUGAAGGAGCGCUUUGCGCCUUUUUAAGUGUUAAUUUUGGGUAGCCGGCUUGUAUCGGCUUGAAAGCUGCAAAUUAUGCCUCUCAUCAUAAUAGCAUUAAUUUUUGUAGUUGCAAUGUGUAUGUUUAGAUUGUAAGUGAAGCUUUUAAUAAUAAUUUUCUUAAAAAACAUGAUUUUAUAUGCUGUCAGUGAGUUUUUUAUUCAAAAAAAUGCUUAAAAUUAAAAAAAAGUCUCCUAUUUCAUCAAGAAAAGUACACUGAUUCACAAUCAAUACAUUUAUUUGGGCCUUUUGCUGAUAUAUUGGUGAAUUUCGCAUGCAAUGAUACCAGUUUUUGCCAUAAAAGUUACGCGUAACAAUAAUUGGAGACACAAAAUCAGCUGUCGUCACUUAGACUAAAAAUCAUGCAUUCCGACUUGACUGCGGCCAAUUUAGUCACCGCUUUAAAUGGCCAUUUUAAGGCCUUUACCCCCAUCCGAAUGCACUGAAAUUGCAUAUUCAUUGUGGAAAUAGUUGAAAUCUCAUGUGGAGAAAGUUUGAAAAAGA